AACGAACGCUGGCGGCGUGCCUAACACAUGCAAGUCGAACGGAGAUAAGGGGCUUGCUCCUUAUUUUAGUGGCGCACGGGUGAGUAACGCGUAGAUAAUCUGCCUGAUGAUUUGGGAUAACAGUUCGAAAGGACUGCUAAUACCGGAUAAGCCCACGGGGUCUUUGGACUCUGCGGGAAAAGGGGGGGACCUUCGGGCCUUCUGUCAUCAGAUGAGUCUGCGUACCAUUAGCUAGUUGGUAGGGUAAUGGCCUACCAAGGCUACGAUGGUUAGCUGGUCUGAGAGGAUGAUCAGCCACACUGGAACUGGGACACGGUCCAGACUCCUACGGGAGGCAGCAGUGGGGAAUUUUGCGCAAUGGGCGAAAGCCUGACGCAGCAACGCCGCGUGAGUGAUGAAGGUUUUCGGGUCGUAAAGCUCUGUCAGAGGGAAAGAAGUGUAUUAUGGCUAAUAUCCACGAUACUUGACGGUACCCUCAAAGGAAGCACCGGCUAACUCCGUGCCAGCCGCCGCAGUAA
rnacentral:rRNA from 1 species